GUGGUAAUGCCGGAUGCUCCAGUUGAUCGCAUGGUCUACUGGGAAAGCUUUCGCGGUAUGGGAUGGGGUCGCGUCCUAUCAGCUUGACGGCGGGGUAACGGCCCACCGUGGCUUCGACGGGUAGCCGGCCUGAGAGGGCGACCGGCCACAUUGGGACUGAGAUACGGCCCAGACUCCUACGGGAGGCAGCAGUGGGGAAUAUUGCACAAUGGGCGCAAGCCUGAUGCAGCGACGCCGCGUGAGGGAUGGAGGCCUUCGGGUUGUAAACCUCUUUUAUCGGGGAGCAAGCGAGAGUGAGUUUACCCGUUGAAUAAGCACCGGCUAACUACGUGCCAGCAGCCGCGGUAAUACGUAGGGUGCAAGCGUUAUCCGGAAUUAUUGGGCGUAAAGGGCUCGUAGGCGGUUCGUCGCGUCCGGUGUGAAAGUCCAUCGCUUAACGGUGGAUCCGCGCCGGGUACGGGCGGGCUUGAGUGCGGUAGGGGAGACUGGAAUUCCCGGUGUAACGGUGGAAUGUGUAGAUAUCGG
rnacentral:rRNA from 1 species